rnacentral:rRNA from 1 species
GCCCAAGAGACUGGGGAUAACACCUGGGAAACAGAUGCUAAUACCCGGAUAACAACACUAGACGCAUGUCUAGAAGUUUAAAAGAUGGGUUCUGCUAUCACUCUUGGAUGGACCCUGCGGUGCAUUAGCUAGUUGGUAAGGGUAACGGGCUUUACCAAGGCAAUGAUGCAUAGCCCGAGUUGAGAGACUGAUCGGGCCACAUUGGGGACUGAGACACGGGCCCAAAACUCCUACGGGGAGGCAGCAGUAGGGAAUCUUCCACAAUGGACGCAAGUCUGAUGGAGCAACGCCGCGUGAGUGAAGAAGGGUUUCGGCUCGUAAAAGCUCUGUUGGUAGUGAAGAAAGAUAGAGGUAGUAACUGGCCUUUAUUUGACGGUAAUUACUUAGAAGUCACGGCUAACUACGUGCCAGCAGCCGCGGUAAU